AAGGACAAACCUCCACUUCUCAGGGACCAUUUCAGCUUCGCUGCAGGUUCAGCACAGCCGCGUCCCCACCGGGGCUGCGGAGAGACUGAGAGGCAGCCCAGCCUCACCCCUCUGUGCAACCACAACACUGCUAUCCUACAGCACGACAGGGGACCUCCUGGGGACAUCAGAAGGUCCACAGCCCACAGGUGCUCUGCAGCCCUGUCCUGGGAUAACGAGGAGCAUCAAACACACAGCUGGAACCCCCUUCUGCUGAUGCAGACGGCAUGCUGUGAUUCUGAAAAGGGAAAAAUGUUGGUUAAAAUGGUAUUUUGUGUACAGUGCUCUGAGCAGAGAGCUUCACAAAACGCUGGUGCUCCCCAUUUGCCUCUGCUGGGUGGGCUCCCACAGCCACCCCGUUUGGGAAGGAGGCACAGGAUGAUGGAAAGAGAAACAGGAGAAACCCAAUGAGGUGAUGCACUGAACAGGUUGCCCAAGGAGGCUGUGGAUGCCCCAUCCCUGCACGCAUCCAAGGCCAGGCUGGAUGUGGCUCUGGGCAGCCUGGGCUGCUGGUUGGCGACCCUGCACAUAGCACGGGGUUGGAACUGGUGAUCACUGUGCUCCUUCUCAACCCGGGCCAUUCCAUGACUCCAUGAAACUUCUCACACUUCUCAAUGAUGGCCUUCAAAUCAACACCGUUUCUCAGCAGCCUCCUCUCCAAACCACGUACAGCAGGGUGCAGUCGGUCAUUCCCCGCGGUGAAGCAGCACGGCGCUGCAGGUGACGCCGUGCUCUGUCACAGCCUUUGAUCUCUGCGGGCUCUGGGAGAUGUGCAGGAGGGAGGGGGUGCAUCUUUGGCUUUUCCAGCUCCGGUAAUGACAUCCUUCCUCAACCCAGGGAGAAGAAAGCACUUUGAGGGUGAUUGAGCAGCGCUCCUGAGACACAGCUUUAAAUAAACUAAUUAGCAAGCUGCCUUCAUUUCUGGAUUUAGCAACCCUUCAGUGCAAAUUAAAGGUGACGAGCAGCAGCUGAGCUAAGCCAUGCGUGAGCCUCGCAGUGCCGGGCACUCCCCACACCCCCAUGGACAUUGGAUGCUCUGCAGCUCCACGGUGACAGCCAUAGGAAGGGUUGGUGCCACCACCAGCCAAG
ensembl:lncRNA